rnacentral:misc_RNA from 1 species
UCCGGUUUGGCACCGGCAGUCUCCCUAGAGUUCCCGGCAUGAUCCGCUGGCAACUAAGGACAGGGGUUGCGCUCGUUGCGCCACUUAAGGCAACACCUCACGACACGAGCUGACGACAGCCAUGCAGAACCUGUACAGGUGUCCCGAAGGAGGGCCCGUGUUUCCACGGGCUUUCACCUGUAUGUCAAGCCUAGGUAAGGUUCUUCGCGUUGCUUCGAAUUAAACCACAUGCUCCACCGCUUGUGCGGGCCCCCGUCAAUUCCUUUGAGUUUCAGCCUUGCGGCCGUACUCCCCAGGCGGGGCACUUAAUGCGUUAGCGCCGGCACCCAGGGGGUCGCUCCCCCAGGCACCUAGUGCCCAUCGUUUACGGCGUGGACUAC